rnacentral:rRNA from 1 species
GAUGAACGCUGGCGGCGUGCCUAAUACAUGCAAGUCGAACGCACCAUUUCGGUGGUGAGUGGCGAACGGGUGAGUAACACGUAGGUAACCUGCCCUUAACGACGAGGAUAACCAAGGGAAACGUUUAGGUCUAAAACUAGGAUAGGAACAUCGAAGGCAUCUUUGUAUGUUUUUAAAAGUAACCUAGCAAUAGGUAUGCUUAAGGAGGGGCCUGCGGCGCAUUAGUUAGUUGGUGAGGUGAAGGCUUACCAAGACGAUGAUGCGUAGCCGGACUGAGAGGUUGAACGGCCACAUUGGGACUGAGAAACGGCCCAAACUCCUACGGGUGGCAG